UCGAAAUCCCGAAAACGAUCACCGUCAUGAGCUUGAGGACGACAAUGACGACGACGACGAUGCGUGGAAUAAAACACGAUCCAGAAAAAAACUGACGUACCUAAGAUUUUCGCGUGAGAGGGGCGGCCCGUUCAGCAUCAGUGAACAAGAGAUAAUGAUAAGAUAUUUGCUCAAGAAAGGCAAAGUCGGCAAAGCGAAGGGAUUAGUUGUAUGGCGCCAGAUGAUCGAUGACGGGAAAACGACAGUUCGGACGAAGCGGAACAAGGGCGUGAAAACCUAGCAGGUGAAGCAAAUAUUCAAAUUCCACCAGUUGUACCCGAACGGCCCUGAGGUGUUCAGCACAAUCAGCCGCCGAUGAUUCCUGAGCAAACGGCAGGUAAUGGUGAUCAUUAU